rnacentral:rRNA from 1 species
CGUAAUCGGGCUGAAGUCGUACCGUAAGGAGCGGUGGACUGAUUACGAGUGAGAAUGUUGGCAUUAGUAGCGAGAUGUGGGUGAGAAUCCCACAGGCCGAAUACCUAAGGUUUCCUCAGGAAGGUUCGUCCGCUGAGGGUUAGUCGGGACCUAAGCUGAGGCCGAAAGGCGUAAGCGAUGGACAAUCGGUUGAUAUUCCGAUACCACUAUUAUCGUUAUUAUCGAUGGUGUGACGGAGAAGGAUAGGAUGUGCUAGCUAUUGGAUGCUAG